UUUUUUAGAAAGAAUAGCGACGAAUUUGUCAAUAAAAUACCAAGAAUUUUACUAUCGCAAAAACCUCAAUGAAUUUGUCACAAACGAUCCCAAACAACCGAUUACUUUUUUCUGUAAUUAUUAUAUGAACGAUUCAAACACACAGUUUAUUAAGAAAUUGUUUACAGUUGCAUAAAUAUUUUGUUUACUCGUUGGAAGAUAAAUAUAAAUUUAACUAUAUUAUAAUACAAUUACAUAUUAUAUUAUACAACGCAUUAUAAAUACAUACUAUACUCUAAUAAUUCAUAUUAAAAUAAAUUCAAUGUUUUCGAGAAAAAAUAAUCCAACCAAUACCGUUUGUUACUAAUAGUAGGUAGUAUAAAUUAUAAAUUAAUAAUAUAUUAAAUAUUAUAAUACUAAUAUAUACUUGUAAUAAUUAUGAAUAAACGCAACGCAG